CGACCUGGCGGCGUGCCUAACACAUGCAAGUCGAGUGGAGUUAUCUAAGUAGCUUGCUACAAGGAUAAUUUAGCGGCGGACGGGUGAGUAACGCGUGAGUAACCUGCCUUUACAGGGGGAUAACAGUCGGAAACGAUUGCUAAUACCGCAUAAGACCACAAUAUCACAUGAUGAUGAGGUCAAAGGAGAAAUCCGGGUUAAAGAUGGACUCGCGUCCAUUAGCUAGUUGGUGAAGUAACUGUUCACCAGGCCGACGAUGGGUAGCCCGACCCUGAAUUGGGUGAUCGGCCACACUUGGGACUGAGACACGGCCAGACUUCUACCGGAAGGCAGCAGUGGGGAAUAUUGCUCAUGGGGGAAACCCUGACGCAGCAACGCCGCGUGAGUGAAGAAGGCCUUCGGGUCGUAAAACUCUGUCAUUGGGGAGGAAAAAAUGACGGUACCCAAUGAGGAAGCCCCGGCUAACUACGUGCCAGCAGCCGCGGUAAUACGUAGGGGGCAAGCGUUGUCCGGAAUUACUGGGCGUAAAGGGUGCGUAGGUGGCCAAUUAAGUCAGAUGUGAAAUACCAAGGCUCAACCUUGGGGGUGCAUAUGAACUGGUUGGUUGAGUGCAGGAGAGGAAAGUGGAAUUCCUAGUGUAGCGGUGAAAUGCGUAGAGAUUAGGAGGAAACACCAGUGGCGAAGGCGACUUUCUGGACUGUAACUUGACACUUGAGGCACGAAAAGCCGUGGGGGAAGCGAACAGGAUUAGAUUACCCUGGUAGUUACGACGCCGUAACGAUGGAUACUAGGGUGUAGGGUAUUCGACCCCCCUUGUCCCGGAGUUACGCAAUAAGUAUUCCCGCCUGGGAGUACGAUCGCAAGGUUGAACUCAAAGAAUUGACGGGGCCCGCACAAGCAGCGGAGUAUGUGGUUAAUUCGAAGCAACGCAAAGACCUUACAGGACUUGACAUCCAAUGACCGGUAUAGAGAUAUCCUCUUGGGCAUUGGAGACAGGUGGUGCAUGGUUGUCGUCAGCUCGUGUCGUAAGAUGUUGGGUUAAGUCCGCGACGAGCGGAACCUUAUCUUUAGUUGCCCAUCAGGUAAUGCUGGGCACUCUAGAGAGACUGCCCGGGGAUAACUCGGAGGAAGGUGGGGAUGAUGUCAAAUCAUCAUGCCCCUUAUGUCCUGGGCUACACACGUGCUACAAUGGCCUGUAACAGAGGGAAGCGAAGCCGCAAGGUGGAGCAAAUCCCAGAAACCAGGUCCCAGUUCGGAUUGAGGGCUGCAACCCGCCCACAUGAAGUUGGAGUUGCUAGUAAUCGCGAAUCAGCAUGUCGCGGUGAAUACGUUCCCGGGCCUUGUACACACCGCCCGUCACACCAUGGGAGUCGGAAGCGCC
rnacentral:rRNA from 1 species